rnacentral:rRNA from 1 species
CAGCCGCCACGGUAAUACAGAGGGUGCGAGCGUUAAUCGGAUUUACUGGGCGUAAAGCGUGCGUAGGCGGCUUUUUAAGUCGGAUGUGAAAUCCCUGAGCUUAACUUAGGAAUUGCAUUCGAUACUGGGAAGCUAGAGUAUGGGAGAGGAUGGUAGAAUUCCAGGUGUAGCGGUGAAAUGCGUAGAGAUCUGGAGGAAUACCGAUGGCGAAGGCAGCCAUCUGGCCUAAUACUGACGCUGAGGUACGAAAGCAUGGGGAGCAAACAGGAUUAGAGACCCGCGUAGUCCCUGUCUCUUAUAA